UACGAAGGGGGCUAGCGUUGCUCGGAAUCACUGGGCGUAAAGGGUGCGUAGGCGGGGCUUUAAGUCAGGGGUGAAAUCCUGGAGCUCAACUCCAGAACUGCCUUUGAUACUGGGGAUCUCGAGUCCGGAAGAGGUGAGUGGAACUCCGAGUGUAGAGGUGAAAUUCGUAGAUAUUCGGAAGAACACCAGUGGCGAAGGCGGCUCACUGGUCCGGUACUGACGCUGAGGUGCGAAAGCGUGGGGAGCAAACAGG
rnacentral:rRNA from 1 species